rnacentral:lncRNA from 1 species
AGAAGAGACAGCGCCGCCGGCCGUGGGGAGCGGACGCAGUGAUUUGCUCCCCCUCGUGCAGCAACCCCCACACCCAGCACCAGGCCCCCAGAACUCUCCUUCCAGCUGAACUCCCUGGGAACAAGUCAGUUGGGCUGAUCACUGAACUCACAUUUCUGGACCUGAGGAGCCUGUUCCUCUCACGCCCUCACCUGGCUGAGCCGCAGUAGUUCUUCAGUGGCAAGCUUUAUGUCCUGACCCAGCUAAAGCUGCCAGUUGAAGAACUGUUGCCCUCUGCCCCUGGCUUCGAGGAGGAGGAGGAGCUGCUUUCCCCAUCAUCUGGAAGGCUUUCUGCCUCCGAGAUGUGGCACCAUAGUGCGGUGCCCUGUGGCUUCACCGCCCUACUUCCACCUCCGCCCAGCCUGUAAUGUUUAUAUAAGCAGCCUCAAGGACCAAGAACCAUCUGCGAAAGGACACACACAGGAAAUUCAUAAAAGAAAUCUGAAUGGAUAAAACCAUGAAAAAAAGUAUGCUUCAUUAGUAAUUAAAGAAAGGCAAAUAGAGCUGGAAGCAUUUUUCCCUUAGCAAACCAUAACAGAAAAAAAUAAGACCCAAUAUUGGCAAAGAGACUACUGAAAAAACAUUCCCAUACAUUGCGUGUGGGAGUAUACAUCGGUGCAGGCUUCCUGGAUGACAGUUGGGUGAUAUGUGUCAUGUGGCCUAAAAGCCUCCAUGUCAUUUGACCUACGAAUUCUAUCUUUGGGAAUUUAUCCUA